CAGGGUUGUGAGAGGGGAGGAUGUGAGUUUAAAAAAAAAAAAAGGAUGGCCAGAAUGCCGCCCCCUGGAAAUGUGCUGCCCCAAGCAUCUGCUUGUUUUGCUGGUGCCUAGAGCAGGCCCUGCCCACAGGGGAGGAGGGGAUUAGAGAGGGUCCCGGAGCUCAGGCUCCAGCCAAAGCCUGAAUGUCUACACCGUAAUUAAACAGCCCCUUAGCCUGAGCCCCAUGAGCCUGAGUCAGCUGGCAUGGGCCAACUGUGGGUGAGACAUAGGCACAGAGACUUAGGACCAGAGCUGAGUGAUUUUUUUUUUGACAAAUAGUUUAUUUGCAGCCCCGCCCCCUUACUAUGCGGCUCUGAGUGGGGAGGAUCUCAGGCCCCGCUGAAACCACGGUGCAGCUGUUCACAGACGGUCCUGGAUGGGCUGAAGUUCCAGGAUAUAUGCACACCCUGGCAAUGUAGGUGGAAUGGGAGUUGAUACAAUUUUUAUCAAAUCUGGAUUUUUCAAAUGGAAAAAUGUACUUUCUCCAGACAAAAGUUUAAUCAAAUAUGAAAACUGCUUCGUCUGCUUGAAUAAAAUAGCUGACUGGACUGCAGCAAAGAAAAGAGAUGCUACAGAUAAUUUCUGUGACAAUCAAGGUCCCGACACCCCAAUGGAAGAACAGGAGGUCUGAACUCCAAACAAUAUACAAUUUAAUCAAAUGGUUGUAUACCAUAUUAGUGUGUAUAACUAUAUGUCAAGGAAGAUCUCUUACGAAAACUUGUGAUGUUCUGAACCCAACGGUCGUUAUGAAAUAUGUAUACAAACAGUGCUUAUGUAUUUGUGUAUAUAAAACUGUGCUCGUAAUUUCUCUGAAGCAAUCGGGCAGGGAGGGCUCGCUUCCUCAAACAGACAGUGAGGCAAGCUCCAAGUACUUAGCAUUGUACAAGUCAGGAAAAAGACAGUGCUGGACCAUUAAAAUUAAUGGGAAAAUAUUGGAACUGCACUACGAACUUAUAUCAGUAUAAAUUCACCCUCCUGAAUGACAGUUACAUCAACCUAACCACCAGCGUAGACAGUGCUGUGUCAACAGCAGGACUUCUCCUGUCAACGUAGUUACCGACUCUUGGACAAGCUAUGAGCAGUGUCUUCACUAAGCGCUGCAGCAGUGCAGUAACUGUAGACAAGCUAUAGGAAAGAAGAAAAAUUUCCCCACCCUGAAUAACCAUGAGUCACCAUGCCAAGUGUAGGGGAUGUGGGAGAAAGAAGCAGGCGAGAGAGAGAAACUGAUUCUAUGAAAUAAUCCUCAAUAAUUUGGAGGAGAUUCACAGUAUUCUGUCAGCCUUUGUGAAUGGAUAUGGCGAUCUGUUCAUUGAAGACGAGGACUGUUGGAAGUUACAAAAUCAUCCAAAUUCUUGUUCUCAACAGAGGUUAUGAAAAUUUUGAAAGUUUUGCUCCUGUGAACAAUUACCUUCAAAAGGAACUAAUGCACCUUGCUAACUGAGUUGAAUUGAUUAUCGUUGCCUCUGAAGAACUUCAAUAAAAUAGACAUUCUAAGGUUUUUUCUCAGAGAUUUCAUCCAGCAAAAUGUUUUGAAAGAUACGUGUGAUGAAACAUCAAUAUUAAGUUGUGCCACUAAAAGACCCAAGCUAUUGCUCCCAGAAUUUCAAGAUUCCAUGGUCACUGAGCACUUACCUGGAUUUUGAAAUGUAAAUGAGCAUCAGUGGUUCCAGAUUUAUCCUGAACUGAUUGAUUAAACCAAUAGUGAAUUGCAAAUGAGAUUUUCUGAGAAGAACCUCCAAAUUAUACAAAAGCUUGUGAGCAAACUAUUUCACCAGUUCUCUGGAAUUUGAAAAAGUCCUAGGUUCUGCUAAGGAAUUAAACAGGGCUUUCCCGUAUAUUUUGAAAGGUUUAUAGGUUUCUUUGUUGUUUGGGGCAUCAGCUGCAGCUUGUGAGAAUUCCUUUUCUUGUUUGAAAAGCAUUUUAUCAGAGAGCAUGACUCAUGAAUAAAAGAGAAACUAAUUCUCUUACCGUAUGAAAAUGCUUUGAGUUCAAAAUGGACCCUGGAUGUCUUUGAGAAAGAAUUCAGAUGUCAUUAUCCAAGAAGAUUUCACCUUUAGUUUUCUGAAUAGUCUUUAUGUUACACAGCACUUUCAUGAUGCAGUUUGGAGAUUAUUUGAAAAUUCUACUUCAGAGACCAAUGUAGAGGAACCAUCCAGCCGCAGGAAGGAUUUCAGCUGAUACAAACGACAAUAUUAAUGAUGGAUGUAGGAGCACACAUUUUAGACUAGAGUUUAAUUAGAGGGAGAAACCUGAAGAGAAAAAGAGAGAGUGUGGCAGUAUUGCAGUCAGACAGACCUGGCCUUUUGUCGCUGCCUUAUCUUGAGAGAGUGAUAUGGGAUUAGGACUAGAGGCACUUGCUGAUGGAAUGAGAAUGCU